UCGCUCUGAUGAUGGUCUUCCAACAUUUGCAGUUUCUUCUAGAAAGGUUUUUCUUAGCAUGGGGUAAACCAGCCUGGGAUGACUGAGCUU
ensembl:snoRNA SNORD14 Small nucleolar RNA SNORD14